rnacentral:rRNA from 1 species
CAGGACGAACGCUUGCGACGUGCCUAAGAAAUGCAAGUCGAGCGAUGACGGGGGCUUCGGCUCCUUGAUUAGCGGCGAACGGUCGCGUAACACGUAAGCAAUCUGCCCCAAAGUUUGGGAUAGCCAUCCGAAAGGAUGAUUAAUACCGGAUGUGGAACAUAAAUCGCAUGUUUUAUGUUCUAAAGCAGCGAUGCGCUUUGGGAUGAGCUUGCGGCCUAUCAGCUAGUUGGUAAGGUGAUGGCUUACCAAGGCGACGACGGGUAGCUGGUCUGAGAGGAUGGUCAGCCGGAUUGGGACUGAGAUACGGCCCAGACUCCUACGGGGGGCAGCAAUUAGGAAUCUUGCGCAAUGGGGGGAAAAACCCCCUGACGCAGCGACGUCGCGUGAAUGAUGAAGUCUUUCGGGAUGUAAAAUUCUUUUUACCGGGAAGAUAAUGACGUUACCGGUGGAAUAAGCCCCGGCUAACUCCGUGCCAGCAGCGGC